CUACCAGGGUAUCUAAUCCUGUUUGCUCCCCACGCUUUCGAGCCUCAGCGUCAGUAAUGGACCAGUAUGUCGCCUUCGCCACUGGUGUUCUUCCGAAUAUCUACGAAUUUCACCUCUACACUCGGAGUUCCACAUACCUCUUCCAUACUCAAGAUAGCCAGUAUCAAAGGCAAUUCCAAGGUUGAGCCCUGGGCUUUCACCUCUGACUAAACUAUCCGCCUACGCUCCCUUUACGCCCAGUAAUUCCGAGCAACGCUAGCCCCCUUCGUAUUACCGCGGCUGCUGGCAC
rnacentral:rRNA from 1 species